rnacentral:lncRNA from 1 species
GUCUUUGUGCAAGUGUAUAAGCAAGAAUUUUAACAUCUACAUUUUAUAAAGUUAUUGGCCUAUAGUUAUCCAGAGAUUUUGGAUCAUUUUUUUUAAAGAUCAGUGAAAUUGCCCCCUUUUUGAGAAUUUGUCAAACUUUUCUUGUUAUAUGACUCAUUAUAUACUUUGGUUAGUAACUUUUGAAUUUGGGGCCAACAUUUUCUAUAGAAUUAUACAUUAAGUCCGUCUAAACCUGGUGCUUUAUUAAGUUUCAUUUUAAACACUGCUUCUGUAAUUUCUUCUGAUGUUACUAGCCCUUUUAAACUAUUACUAUCUUUAUCUGAGAGGUUUUUUUUUUCUAUUUUAGUAUUUUGAAUAUACUCUUUGGUAUGUAAUUUAUCUUGAUUUAUAUAACUUUUCAUAAUAUUUUGCUUCCUCUUUUAAAAUUUCAGUUUGGUUUGUUGUAAUAUUGCCUUUAUUGUCAUGCAAUUCUAUUAUAGUUUUAUUUACUUGUAUUGAUUUUUCUAAGUUUAAGAAAAAAGCAAUAUGUUUUUACCUUCUUCUAUCCAUUUUGCUCUUGACCUUAUUUGAGCUCCUUUAGUUUUUUGAAGGUAUAAUUGAUCUAAAUGGUCGGUUUUAUUAUUUAUCUGUGAAAGUAGUUCAGAAUUAUUAGAACUUUCACUUCGAUCUAAUUUAAUAUUUAGCUUAUUAAGGUCAUUUUCAUAAGUUUUUAUUUUUUCUCUUUUUUGUUUUGCUUUUCUUUUGCAAAAAUCUAGACUGAUAUCCCGAACUUCAGUUUUAAAGUUAUCCCACAGUUUACCUAAAUUU